UCCUAAAAAUCCUCACAGCACUCGACUUCUCUGGAAACAGGCUUGAAGGUGAGAUUCCAAGCUCCAUUGGCCUACUGAAAGAGCUUCACGUGCUCAACUUGUCAAACAAUGCUUUCACUGGCCACAUACCAUCAUCUAUGGGGAACCUGACAGCUCUCGAGUCACUUGACGUUUCUCAAAACAAGCUUUCAGGAGUGAUCCCACAAGAGCUAGGGAAUCUCUCGUACCUUGCGUACAUGAACUUCUCCCACAACCAACUGGAGGCACUCAGUUUCGAACGCAGCCUUGCUCUUCCUUCGAACACAACUCUGGACUUUUUGGCCCUGCUCUUGACGAAGUUUGCAAAGAUAUCCACAAGCCAUCAUCGCAAGAGUAUAAAACACCAGAGGAGGCAGAGGAAGAAGACGAAGAAGUGUUUAGUUGGAUUGCAGCUGCAAUAGGAUUUGGACCUGGCAUUGUAUUUGGACUGACGAUUGGAUUCAUACUGGUUUUAUACAAACCGAGGUGGUUCACGAGUCCUUUUGGUCGAAACAAACGCAGAAGCAGAAGCACCACAACUCAUUAAGAGAGGUAAUGUUUUGAAUUUGAUAGAUUAAAGACUAUUGUAUAGUAUAAUGAAUUUUUCUGGGUUAAUGUAUACUGUAUGUGAAAAUUAACGCUGUUUUUGUUUGUAUAGCGUUCUUAAACCCAAGAUGAAGAAUCUUUGAAAAACAGAAUGAAGCAACCAGACCAUAGGUAGAGAAGAAGCUUGGGGGAGAAGGCAACUCAUUUUAUCAAAGUCUAAAUAUCAGUGAUUGUUUUUGGUUUAGUUUGGUGUGUUUAUCAUAUACUCUGUUUUUAGCCAAUGUUUGUGUUUCUCUGUAAUUGAACAAUGAAAGAUUGUUUACAAAGCUCAAACUUAUUCUUAUUUAUUAGAUAAACAUGAUUUGAGAGAGGUAAUAAUGUUCUUGCUCCGACUAAAUCAAUUAUUCUUCUGCCAAAUGAAGAACUAAGAUUCAACACACAUCUCAGAACAUUGAUCCUUAUUCUCUUUUGGUAAUAUUAAUUAGCUGAGUAAAAUGAUAACUUACUUAGCUUAUUGACAGAUAUUUCACUUAGCAGAUAGAUAUAUUAGUUAGCUGCGAUCAAGAUCACCGACCAGUUAAAGCUAUAGAUAUACAGGCUUAAAACCCAAGCUUUGCCAUCAGAAUGAGAGAAAAAAAAUCAUCUCACAAAUCAUUCCACUUUCCAACUACUGAAACUCUUCAAUAGUCAAAUGACUCAAAUCUGAAUAAGAGAGUAUACAUACACACAUACUUAAGUCCUAAAUCUUGUUUAUAAAUGUAACAAAAAUAACCCAUCAUUUUUAACCAAAAACAUUGAACGAAGAAAUUACCCUAUGUUUAUCUGAUAUGAUUGUGAUGUAUCUGCCAUCACCAAGUCCUAAAUCUUGUUUAAGGUGAUUAACGAACCAUCCCCAGUUGAUGUCGUUUUCGAUCUCCACUACUGCCCACGCUAUAGGAACAAUUCUAUUAUCUCCAUCCCUUCCAACUGCAGCUAUCAAUAGGCCUUUAACAUCCCAUUUAAGGAAUGCACCAUCUAGUCCUAUGAUAGGUCUGCAAUGUGUUUUCCAAGUGACUCGUUGUGCUUCAAAACAGACAUAAAUACGAUCAAACCUUUGCUUGCUUCCGGGUGUUGGCCCUGGAAUAGUCUGAAUAUCCAUAAUGGUUCCUUUAUUAGUCUUAUGAAUCUCUGCUUCGUAAUCCCAGAUUCGAGCAAAAUGUGUUCCAUGGCCUGCUCGUCUUUGCCUAGUAAUUUUGGUCUAAAUUACUAGGCUAGGUCAGUAUCUAAUUUGGCUAGGUCAAUAUAAGUUCGGGUGUUUUUUGGCUUAUUACAAAGUUUGUAUUUUUUUUUGGCAAAAUCAUAUAAGUUUGGUAUUUAGAUGACCGAUUUCCCUACACACAUACUUAAGGGUCACGAUGACAAAAUCUUCGGUUUAACCAAUAAGAGUAUUCAUCAAAAGACAUCUUAUAAACCAAUGGAUUAUAUUUUAAAAACUUGGUGAAAACAAACAAGAAAUUUAUCAAUAAAAUACAAGAACACUGGGUCAAUAACUGCUUAAUUCUUUUUUUUUUUUAAAAAAACAAAAGGUAAAUGAUGCAAUUGAUAGUAUAAUCUACACUACUCUAUACUCCACUGUUUUACUUUUUUUAUUUUAAGUACACAACUUUUUGUUAUUUUUUAUUCUUGGGAGAUGUAUAUCCUAUAAACAAAACUGUGUUAAAUGGAAGGACUUGAUAGACACCAAAACCAGAAGAGAAACGAAAACAAACGGCUCAAACUUGACAGUAUAAAAUAUCUACUGUUAAAACAUCAUCCAAAAUUUAUAAAUUAACGAUUGAGAAAUAUUUUGAUAAAAAAUAUAAUUCGAUAAUAUUGAUCAGAUUACAGCAUCACAAAGUCAGUGAACAAAUCAUAUAAAACAAACUUGAAUAAAGAAAAUUGUAUCAUGCCAAUUGCCAAAAGAAACCAAACAAAUAAAUAGAUAACAGAAAGUAGAAACAUUGACUGACCGAUUACUAAGUUCUGGACAAAAGACGAAGACUUGAAAAGUCAACUUCAGUCUUCUUCCUUAUUGUCCCACCAAUAAUUUUACUUUUUCUCCUUCAAUCUCAUCUUCUUCCUCAAUCCUCUGAACAUCGACCACAUGUUUCUUCAUCCAUUGACCUCAAAUACUUGAUUUUCACUAUCGACUCUCUUUCUUUCUCUCUCUCUCUAGAUUUUCCGUCAAAGCUAUGGAGAAACUCUGUCUUCGAAACUCUGUUUCUCUCAUGACGAUGGUGGUUAUUGUUCUUCUUCCUCGUUGCACUCUUUCUACUACUUCUACAUAUUCUCGUCCCGAGAAGUUGUACGUCAACUGUGGGUCGGAUUCUAAUGUCACUUACGGUAACCGGACUUUUGUCGGAGAUAUGAUCUCUGGUGGUAACUCCGUUUCAUUCACCAAGAAAGGAACUGAAGCCAUCAACCAAUCAGGAUCAGGAAUCUACGAAAUGGUUAGGAUAUUCACAAGCCCUUCUUCUUACAAGUUCCAACUCGAUUCCGUUGGUCUGCACUUCGUGCGUCUCCAUUUCUCUGCUGUCUCUUCUCGGACACAGCUUUUAGCUGCUCGUUUCACAAUCUCAGCUACUUCUCACUUGAAAAGUUUCUCGCUUCAGAAUUUCAAUGAGACCCCACGAGUUGAGGAGUUUCUCCUGAUGAUUGACUCGCCGGAAUUCGAAAUUCGAUUUGUGCCCGAUCAUUCAUCCAUGGCUUUCGUCAACGCCAUCGAAGUGUUCUCUGCUCCAGAUGACCUAGAAAUUCCGUCAGACUCCGACAAGAAUCUGCAUACGGUUUACAGAUUAAACGUAGGAGGCAAGAAGAUCACACCAGAAAACGACACCUUGGGAAGAACUUGGUCAUUAGACGAUGACUUCCUCUACGAAAAAGAUUCUGCGAGGAACAUUAACUCAACACAAAAGCCUAACUAUGAGUCAGGAACAGUGACGCAAUUCACUGCUCCUGAUUUCGUCUAUCAGACAGCUAAAACGAUGAACCAUAGCUCGAACGAGGGGGUGGUAGAGGGAAUGUUGAUGAACGUCACUUGGUCAUUUAAGGUCAAAAGCAGCUCAAGACACUUCAUCAGGGUUCACUUCUGUGAUAUCAAGAGUGAAUCACAAAAUCCCGACUCCGAUUUCUAUCUCUAUGUAAACGGACAAUCACGACUAGAUGUAAAGCCUUCAGAGCGUAUUAGGUUGGUGACUCCGUUUUUCAAAGAUGUGAAUGUCUCUGAUGGUUUUGGACUCUUGAAUGUUACAAUAGGUACUAAGGAUUCCACUAAGGAUGCUGGUUUUCUGAAUGGUCUGGAGGUGAUGGAGUUUUUGAAAAAGUCAGAUUCUUCAGAUAAAAGUAGUUUCCGGGUUUACAUCAUUGCUGGCUGUGUUGUUGCUGCAUCGGUUCUGGUAUUGAGUUUGUUGUUCACAGUUUUCUUGAAGCGGAGGAGAUUGAAGAAGGAAAAGAAGUUAGACGCUGAGGUCACUGAAUGGUCUCCUUUGCCAUUGUACAGAGGUGGUGGGAGUUCCGACAAUAGACCUUCUGAUCCGGUCAACAAUUCUCCAUUACGCAGCAAUAGAACUUUUGAUCCGGUCAACAAUUCGCCAUUACGCAACCUAAACUUAGGCUUGACCAUUCCCUUCAUAGACAUUAUGAGAGCUACAAACAAUUUCGACGAGCAGUGGUUGAUCGGGAGAGGCGGUUUCGGAGACGUUUACAAAGCCAUUCUUCAAGAUGGAAGCAAAGCGGCUAUCAAGAGAGGCAAGAGUGGUUCAGGACAAGGAAUAUUGGAGUUUCAAACAGAGAUUCAAGUCCUGUCGAGAAUCCGGCACAGGCACCUCGUUUCUCUAACGGGUUACUGCGAAGAGAACUCGGAAAUGAUCCUUGUCUACGAGUUUAUGGAGAAAGGUACGCUUAAGGAGCAUCUAUAUGGCUCGGAUUUGCCUUCACUGACAUGGAAACAGAGACUAGAGAUCUGCAUCGGAGCAGCCAGAGGUUUGCAUUAUCUCCACAGUGGCUCAGAAGGAGCAAUCAUUCACAGAGAUGUCAAAUCCACAAACAUACUACUAGACGAGAACACCGUAGCCAAAGUUGCCGAUUUCGGGCUCUCAAAACUCGCGGUUCGUAAUCAAGAUCCGAUUAAUAUCAGCACUAACAUCAAAGGAACAUUCGGUUACCUCGAUCCUGAGUAUCUGCAGACACACAUCUUGACGGAGAAAUCAGAUGUUUACGCUUUUGGAGUCGUUCUCCUCGAGGUCUUGUGCGCGAGAUCGGCUCUCGAUCCUUCUCUUCCUCACGAGGAAGUGAAUCUAGCCGAGUGGGCGAUGUUCUGCAAAUCCAAAGGGAUAAUCGAUGAGAUCUUAGAUCCGAAAUUGAUAGGUCAGAUCGAGCCGAGUUCGUUGAGGAAAUACAUGGAAAUCGCGGAGAAGUGUUUGAAAGAGUACGGAGACGAGAGGCCGAGCAUGGGGGAUGUGAUCUGGGAUCUGGAGUAUGUUCUUCAGCUUCAGAUGAUGCCGAUUCGCAGAGAGCCUCAUGAGGAUAGCGCCGCGACGAUCUCCGGCGGCGGAGGCGAAAGCUCGUUGGUGAUUCCGAGGUUGAUGGUGAGUGAUUCGUUUAGCUCAAACUCGAUUGUUCAGAAGAACGAAGGGAAGAGCAGCUAUGGAGGUACAGAUUCAUCGGAGAGUCGAGUUUUCUCCCAAUUGAAGAUCUCCGAAGCAAGAUAAAACGUUCUGAUUUGAAAAGCGUCUGGUUUAAAGCUUUUGAUAUUAAAAACCGGUUAUUGCCGGUUUAAAUUUAUUCAUUUAAAACAGAUGCAAAGUAAACUAGUCAAGGGACUGUAAUAUAAAAAUUAAAACUCGGUUAUCUUCGGUUUAAAGUUAAUUAUUCUAAGACAGAUGCAAAUUUCCGAAUCGAAAAUACAAAUCAAUUUGAUUAACCGAUAAAAACCUAAUUUCAAGAAAAAUUCUGAUUUGAUAAGUCUGGUGUAGUGUAAUUUUUGAGAUUGAAACCCGCCAGUUUAAAGAUAAUUAUUAAGUAACGAGUCAGUUGACUGAAUAUGAAAUAUAAACCCGGUUAUCUUCGGUUAAAAACUAACUAUUCUACGACAAAUGCAAAUAUCUUUACGAAAAACAAGUCAAUUUAAUUAACCGAUAAAACCUAAUUUCAAGAAAAGUUCUGAUUUGAUAAGUGACUGGUUUAGUUUUUGAAAUUAAAACCCGGUUACUGCCGGUUUAACGAGUCAACUGAUUGUGAUGUCGGCGAUGAACGAAUCCAGAUUCCGAGCCGAUGAUCCACCAGGCGCCAACGCCGAUCUCGCCGCGUACUUCAGCUCCGUCGCUCUCCUCCUCAUAUCCGCGGCGGCGGAUCCUUCCGUCACGGCCUCAAUACAUCUCUCCACCUCUUCAACCUUAAGCUCUCCGUCAACGGUGUCGUUCCUCAUCCUCACUCCGAUCCCGAACACAUCCACAAGCAAUCUCGUGUCAAGCGGCUGAUCAAUCCAGCUCGGAUACGCCACCACCGGAACACCAGUCACCACCGUCUCGACCGUCGAGUUCCAGCCGCAGUGCAUGACGAAACAAGAUAUCGCCACGUGGCUCAGUAUCCUCUCUUGUGGACCCCACUCAAUCACAAUACCUUGACCUUCUUUAACCAUCUCCUGCAAAACGUCGACGUUUUCGCCUUUCUCCUUUGGCCUAAUCACCCAGAGAAACGAAACUCCUCUGUUUCUCAGAGCCGUUGCUAUGCUCUUAACUUGAGUCUCCGAAGAUUUCAGCAAACUUCCAAAAGAAAUGUAAACAACCGAAGUAAGCCACUCCAUACUAUACUCAUCCGAUUUCCACAUAUCAAGAUUUUUACCAUCUAGGGUUUUGUCUUCUUCAUCAGCUCCCAACAGAAAUGGAGAAACCAGAGGACCAAUUGGGAUCAUGGGUUUUAAACCAGACAUCGAUUCGAUUAUCUCUGAUUCGAGCUCGUAGAACGAAUUAACCAAAACCCAUUUCACAUCUUUCAAGCAAUCGACGAACUCCACCAUUAGGCUAUUGAAAUGACUUCCUGAAGAAGGCAACAGAAACGAAGGGAGAUCUCCGACUUCCAGCAAUGGUAAACCUGGCAAUUCAACCGUUUGAUUCAAAUCUUCGAGAUUCUCGGGGAAAGCGUUCGUCUUCAUGUAGUAACGGUAAUAAACGGAGAAAGCUCCACAAGCUUCGAUCCAGAGGAUUGCACAGGGGAUGUUAUAUGCAGCUGCAACACCUGGANNNNNNNNNNNNNNNNNNNNNNNNNNNNNNNNNNNNNNNNNNNNNNNNNNNNNNNNNNNNNNNNNNNNNNNNNNNNNNNNNNNNNNNNNNNNNNNNNNNNNNNNNNNNNNNNNNNNNNNNNNNNNNNNNNNNNNNNNNNNNNNNNNNNNNNNNNNNNNNNNNNNNNNNNNNNNNNNNNNNNNNNNNNNNNNNNNNNNNNNNNNNNNNNNNNNNNNCAGUGACGAUGCAAGAGAAUCUCUUUGAUUCGACGAUUUUAGACAAGUUCUUGGCUCCUACUUUUCUCAACGAUGGUAUGAGAGAAUCCGCACCUCCUGUGUGGUCUUUAGGCAGACCGUCGGAGAAGAAAGCAAGGUCCACUAGGCUAUGGUGAUGUUCUUUGUCUGCGGUGGUGGCUGCGGUGGAGAGGAGGUCACGGGUUUUCUCGGUGGUGGCGAGAGUGAAUCGGAGGUUCGGUCUUGAGAGAUGUUUGGCGAAUUUGAGCAUUGGAUUAAGAUGAUCUUGAAAUGGUAGUGCUACCAAUAGAACAUGUGUUUCUUGACCCUCACUAUUUCUCAUUUCUGCUUUGUUUAGAGGUGUUACUUAUUAGACUUGAGUUGUGUAUGAGAUUGUGUGUAACUUGUAAUUGUGGUGGUAUAUAUAACAAUGGUUGCUUAACGAUAGAUUUUUGCUUAAAAUGAAGUUAUUAAGUGAGAUUUUGGUAAGAAAAAUCUAUAUAUAGUAAAAAUUGGUAACCCAAUAAAAUGUUGUUGAAUAGAUUCAAAAGUUACCACGUUUAUUAGCACUCUGCGCCUUGUCCUUAACUCAAUUCAAAUCUUGUAUAAUUGUUGACAAAAAAAACACGAUAUAUAUACCAAUUCUAGUAUGGUUAAAGUCAACAGUCAUUACUAAUGAUUUAUGAAUCUUUUUGUAUAGUGUGACACUGAGAUCAUUGUAAUUUGUUAAUGACAAUCUAUAAACUGUAAUUGGUAAUCCAAUAAACGUUGGUCAAUAAAUUCAAAUUUAAUCAUGUGUUUCUAUGCUCUUGUAAAUAAAUAAAUAUAUGUUAUUUUCAAUUGUGUUAUGGUUAUGAUUAGAUUUAUAUAAAAAAUAUGGUUAUGAUUAGAUUUAUAUAAAAAAAAAAACAGGUCUCAAUUCAUUCGGAUCAGUCUCGUUUGUAUUUGUCUCACUUUUAGAUUUGAAAUCCGUUAAGCUCUAUUUAGUUUUUGGAACUAACAGAGUAAUCGGUUUAUACACGCCAAAAUUCUUUUAAUCUAUUUAAAACCAUUUACGAUAUGAUGCUUAAACAUUCUUAAUAUUUAUUUUAAAUUAUAUAAACUAAGCUUUUGGAAGCUAAUCAGAAGUUAACACACCAAUAUAAUUACCAUUGUUUUUUUAUUAAAUAAUAAUUACCAAUGUUUCAAGGCAUGCUUGAAUAUUCCACUAAGAAAAAUCAUCGAAAUUGUUUAUACUAAUCUAAAAUCCUAGCAAAGGUGGGUGAAUCUUUUUUUUUAAAAUAGUUAUACAUAUUUUCGAGAUGACAAAAUUUAACAAUAUGAUAAAAUCAUAUGGACACUCGAACAUUUAUGUAGAUUUAGUUAUGUUAUAUAUCCAAGAAGAAAUGAAUAAUAUUAAGUAACAUCUAUUACAAAUAACAUAUCAAUUGGUAACAUCAGAUGGCAAAUCAAAUAACAUCAUUACGUAGUAAAUUCAUAUGCAUGCGUUACUAGCUAAGCUUGUAUUCACUUUAUAAAAGAAAAUACAAAAUAGCAAUAGCAAUAAUGAAGGGAAGAGCAGCUACGGAGGUACAGAUUCAUUGAUCGAAGAGUCGAGUUUUCUCCCAAUUGAAGAUCUCUGAAGCAAGAAAACAAAUAAUCUCUUGAAUCCUUCUGAUUUAAAUACCGACUGGUUUUAACUUUUGAUAAUAAAAUCCGGUUAUUGCCGGUUUAAAUAUAAACAUUUUUUUAAGUCGACAAAAAAAAACAUUUCAAAACAGAUGUAAAGUGAGUCAACACUAUGAUCGAUGACUUUCUAGUUGAUGAGAAACGUGCACAAAAAGAAAAGGGUAACACUAUGAUCGAUCACUUGCUUUCUCUCCAAGAAACUCAACCAAAUUAUUAUACGGAUGUCAUCGUCAAAGGACUCAUAGUUGUAAGUAUUGAGGAAUACAUUUAAUACAUCACUAACAACUAACAAGGCUAACUAAGCUUUUUAUAAUGACUAAUUCUUGACUUCUAUUUGGAUAGGUUAUGAUAUUUGCUGGAAAUGUAACAUAAACAAGAACGUUAGAAUGGGCGAUGCUAAAUCUGUUGAACCAUCCAGAAGUACUAAAGAAAGCGAGGAUUGAAAUCGAUACAAACAUUGGUUUGGACAGGUUAAUAGAUGAACAGGAUGCGAAAAGUCUUCCUUACCUCCAAUGCAUCAUAUCAGAGAUUUUUCGACUUUACCCGGCAGCUCCUUUACUUGCUCCUCAUAGGGCUACAGAUGAUUGUAUAGUUGGAGGCUACGACUUCCCUCUUGGCACGACAUUAAUCGUGAACGUAUGGGCCGGCCAUUCACCGAGACCCAAACAUAUGGUAAGAGCCAGAAAAGUUCAAGUUAGAGCGGUUCGAGAAGAAAGGAGAAGAACAAAAGUUGAUGCCGUUUGGAAUGGGACGACGAGCUUGUCCCGGGUCUGGUCUAGCUCAACGGGUCGUGAGUUUGGCUCUCGGAUCGAUGAUUCAAUGUUUUGAAUGGGAGAGACUUGGAGAAGAAUAUGUUGACCUAAGUGAAGCAACCACAAUGCGUCCAACGACGCCGUUGCUAGCCAUGUGUAGAGCUCGUCCUAUUGUUCAUAAGAUUUUCAAUGCUUCUUUUUGAGAUGUCACUCCCUUUUUAAAAAAAUAUGUAUAUCCAUUUAUGUUAUAUCCAUUUUGAGAUGUAAUUAAAAUGAAAGACAAAGACUAGUCUUUGAUUUACCUUUAGAUUUUCGAUUUUAUUAAAAUUCAAAAACUAUUUUUUUUUUCAAAAACCAAAAUUUAGAAGUUAAAGGCUACUCCAUUAUCAAAUAAACUCACUUCUAAAUUUCUAAAAUUAUGAAUGAGGAGUAGUUUUUUUUUACUUUGAGAAAGGGUGAAGAAAUUUUUCCAAUUUAUUAGUUUUUUUUUUGUUGAGGAAGGGUUAAGAAAAGGGAGCUUGUUUUAUAAUAGAAUCUCUCAUGCAAUUAUUCCACCUGUCACUAGAGAUAUGUUCAUAACUUCGUAACGUCUCAUGCAAUUACUGACUAAUAAACAUGUGUAAUAAGUCUCCAUUAAUAUUGAUAGUCUAUUUAUUUUGCUUUUAAUUAAUAGGGUUUUGAGUAGAAAUUUGUUUCUUUCUAAUAUUAUAGACAAUAUAUAUUGCUAGCGUUUACGUUUUUGGUUUAAACCAUAGUGAUUAAAAAUAAACAAAUCAUAAAUUAUUAUUAAGGGUGACCUACACAUAUUUAUUAGUCAUUAAUGAAUGAGACGUUACGAACAUAUUUUUAGUUUAUUAAAAAAAAAAGAUAUCUUUAGUGACAGGUGUGAUAAUUGCAUGAGAGUUUUCAUUAUAAACUAAGCUACAUAAACUAAUAACUUCCAUGUUCGAUUCAACACAUUUACAACAAGAAGAAGUUCUUAAUCUAAAAUGGAAACUUACUUUCUAAUUUUAUCCCUUGCCAUCUUCUUUUUCAUUUCUCUAAAACCUUUGUUUGGUAAACGGCACAGCAAGUUUAACCUACCACCAAGUCCGGCAAGGCCACUACCGUUGAUUGGACACCUUCACCUCCUGAAGCAGCCUCUCCACCGCACAUUCCUAUCCUUCUCUCAAUCUCUCGACAGUGCCCCAAUUUUCUCCCUCCGCCUCGGAAACCGUCUCGCCGUUGUCGUCUCCUCCUACUCCAUCGCCGAAGAAUGCUUCACAGAAAACGACAUCGUUUUGGCCAACCGGCCAGAGUCCAUAGUCGGGAAAUACAUUGAGUACAACUUCACCACUGUGACCAGUGCGCCUUAUGGUGACCACUGGCGAAACUUGCGGCGUCUCAGUACCCUCGAGAUCUUCUCCUCGCACAAGCUCAAUGGCUUUUUAUCUGUCCGUAAGGACGAGAUCCGACACUUGCUACUUCGUCUCUCCAAAAACUCCCAGCAUGUAUGUGAGCUUGUACAUAACUUGAAGAUUGUACUCUAUAAACAUUAUCAGAGUUUGUAACCUAGUAGUGUGUCUUAGUGUGGCCACUAGGUCAUAACCUGAGUCCGUGCAACACAAGUUUGAGAAUUGAUAAUUUGUUUAUUUGAUUAUAAAUUAGGGGUUUGCGAAGGUGGAGAUGAGAUCAUUGUUUAUGGAUUUGACUAUCAAUAACAUUCUCAGAAUGAUGGCUGGGAAAAGAUUUUAUGGUGAUGGAACAGAGCAAGUGAGACAGCUUAUUGACGAGGUGGUAUCCUACGCCGGCGCCGGGAAUGCUACCGAUUAUAUCCCAAUCUUGCGUUGGAUCACAAGUUUUGAGAAACGGGUUCAAGAACUUAGCCGGGUAGGGUCGAAUGAGUUCUAGCAGAGCCCUGUGGAUUGAAAAAACGUGCGGAUAAAGAAAAGGGCGACACUAAUGAUGGAUCACUUGCUUUCUCUCCAAGAAAUCCAACCUAAUUAUUACACAGAUAUCACUCUAAAGGGGAUUAUAGUUGUAAGUAUUUAUUUUCUACAUUUAUUAAUCUUGAAUAAUCUAUUUAAUAUAUAACAACAUAAACUAAACAUCUGUUAAUUUAAUUUUUACAGGUUAUGAUACUUGCCGGAACUGAAACACUAAUAGGAACAUUAGAAUGGGCUAUGUUGAAUUUGUUGAAUCAUCCAGAGGUAUUAACGAAAGCAAGAACCGAAAUCGAUACCAAAAUCGGUUUUGACCGGUUAAUAGAUGAACAAGAUAUUAAAAAUCUUCCUUAUCUCCAAGGGAUUGUGUUGGAGACCUUACGUCUUCACCCUGUAGCUCCUACACUUGUUCCACAUAUGACGUCAGAUGAUUGCAUUUUAGCUGGAUACGACGUUCUUUGUGGGUCGAUGUUAUUGGUGAACGUAUGGGCCAUGCAUAGAGACCCGUAUAUAUGGGAAGAUCCAGAAAUGUUCAAGCCAGAGAGGUUCGAAAAUGAAAAGGAAAAUCAAAAGGUGUUGUCGUUUGGGAUUGGACGACGAUCAUGUCCCGGGGUUGGAUUAACUCAUCGGUUAGUGAGCUUGGCUCUCGGAUCGAUGGUUCAAUGUUUCAAAUGGGAGAGAAUUGGAGAAGAAUAUAUUGACACUAGAGAGGCACCUAUGAUGCGUCCAGCUACACCGUUACAAGCCAUGUGUAAAACUCGUCCCAUUGUCCAUAAGAUUCUCGAUGCUUUUGCUUGAAUUGUAACUCUUCUUGGUUUGAUUUAUGUUCGGAAAUAUUACAUCAACUUGUUUUGAGUUGGGAAAUAAUUCAAAAUCCUUCUAAGAACGCUUUCAUGCAAACUGUUGAAUGUAUCUUCAAGGUUCUGAUCACCACCUAGCUAAGUCUUUGCGGAAGAUCCUCACUAAAUAUUAUCAUUUUGCCUUCGAAUACAUUGAUGUUGUUGCCCUGAUACAGUUGAAAAAAAAAACAACUAUAGAGACACUCAAAUAAAAAAAAAGUUCAUAGCUUUAAAAUUUGAGAAAAUUUGAAAAAAAUACCUUAUCAUGAGUUUUUAAUUUGAAAAAUACACCAAUUUUUUUUUUUUUGAAAUCUACACUUAUUGAUAAGUAAAAUAACAAAAUUAACCAUAAUUUGAAAUUGAAGUAAUUUUUUAUUUAGAUUGUAAUAUAUUUUAAACAUAUAUAUAUGUAUAUAUAUUUAGAUAUUCUGCACAAAGAAUAUCUAGUUAGUUUCUAUUUUAUUUAACUUUAAUUACCAAACAAUAUUUUAAUUAAAAAAACGUUUUAACUCAAUUCAACGAGACUUCAGAUUCUGUAAAACACAGAUCACACUCAUUUGCACUCACGCCGUCAAAAUCACUAUUCACAAAUUGGUAGAUUUUUUUUCUUUCGUUCUUGAUUUAUAUUUGUCGUAGUAUUAUACUUCUUCUCUUUUUAUUCUCAAAAUGGUUUGUUUUGUUUUUUAUUUAUACAGAAAAAUGGUGCAUAUCGCUGGAGUUUUUGGUGAAUGGCAAGUGAAAAAAGAAUCAUGGAAAUUCAUCGUGAAUACUAAAAAAAGAGGUAAAUUAUUCACGAUUAGGGAUGAUUUGAAGUUUGCUGAUAUGGUUUGAAGUUUGCUGAGAUGGCCGAGUCUAUAAAUGUUGUGUUCAAAAAGCCUCGUGAGCUACCCAUUGUCUCAUUGAUUGAGGUAAUAAAGAAUACACUAACACGGUGGUUUUUUUAUCGUCGAGAAAGUGCUGCGAAACUUACUUCUUCUCUCACACCUAAAGUUGAAAACAAGCUCAAUAAACGGUGUGAUUUGUCUGAUACUUUCGAUGCGCAGCCCAUAAAUCAAUAUGAGUUUCAGGUAACCGAUGGCUCCCAAAAUUUUUUGGUUGAUCUACAACGGAUGACUUGUACAUGUCAAGUGUUUAGUAUUGAUAAGAUCCCCUGUAAGCAUGCUGCUAAAGCUGCAAAAAGUCGAGGCAUAGACCCUGGGUUAUAUGUACAUCCGUACUACUCAAAGUCAUACUUGUGUGCUGCAUAUUCAGAGAGCAUAAGACCUGUAGGUGAUAUUUCAGAAUUGAGCGAAAUACCUGCUGAUAUUGUUGGUCAGAUAUGCUUACCUCCAGAUGUCCGAAGGAAACCAGAAAGACCCGUAAAAAGAAGAUAUCAAAGUGUUGGAGAACAAGCAAUGAGGAAAAAAGCACGCAAACAAUGUUGUUCAAGAUGUCAUCGUUCAGGACACAAUCGUGCGAGAUGUGACUUUGGAAUUUGAUUUUUAUUUUUUAUUUGGUUUGAAACUCUGUUUUUCAUUUCGUAAACUUUUUUCACUCUUCCUUGAAUUGGGAUUUUACAUAUUCUGGUUUUAUAUUAUUUGUAUGCAGACUCUCUCUUUCAAUUUCUCUUAUAUCACCAGUUUGCUAAUGCGUCCUUUUUUUCUUGGUCUUUUCCAAAUCAGUAAUACUAGUAAGUGCAUUACCGUUCUUGAAAUCAAUGAGAAAAUUGAAGAUCUUGAACAAAAUCAAGUUUAAACCUUAUUGCUUUUUUGAAGAUUCAUUGGUUCGCUCCAAUCCUCGAAAUGCAUUUGAUCGCUCAAAGUAUGUUGCCUCAAUGAGACAGACUCAACUUGGUAAUUUGAUCGUUGCUUUUUUUUCAUUCUGAAAACGAUAGUCUGCAUUGAUUAAUGUUGCAUGAGUCUAGUUGUGUGACUUAGGUUGUGGUGCUUGACGAGAGAGGCCGUGACAUUAACUCAGAGCAGAUGGCUGAUUUACUAGGCGAUGCAGGAAAUAGUGUAAGCUUAUACCUUCUCUUUGUUCUUACAUCACCCAUAUCUGUUUUCAGGGAGCUUCAAGGAUAUCGUUUUGUAUAGGUGGACCUUAUGGACAUGGAAGAUAAGUGAGGAAGCGAGCUAAUGUGACCAUUAGACUUUCCUCCAUGGUUCUGAAUCAUCAGAUAGCUCUUGUGGUCUUGAUGGAACAGCUUUACAGGUGAAACCAUUGUUGCUUCCGUCUGUGUGUGCGUCCCAGUUACACUUAAUUUCAAGUUUUUAUAGCCUCGCCGGUUGUGCGUUCAUAUGAUGUGAUGGGGUUUUCUGUUUUCAGGUCAUGGACUAUUCUCAAGGGACAAAAUUACCAUCAUUCAGGAUGUAUGAAUCUCUAUUUUUGGUGUUCUUCUUUUGCUUUCUUGUGCUUAAAGAAACUGGAUUGCUAAAAAGACUUUCUGCUUAUAAUGUAUCAGAAAUUGUUUAUUGAACGUGAAAACGUUUGUAAUCCAAAGUUUAUUGCUUCUGAUCUUGGCUUAGAUUUGAGUCAUCCGAGUGCAAUAUCUGAUUUUGUAUGUUGCAUAUUGUUCUCAUCAUAUAGAGAUUGAAUGAAUGUAGAAGCGAUUGUGGCUGUUCAACAAAUGAUCCUCUCUCCACAUAUCUCCAUAUAAAGGGAAGGAGAUAGGAGACGCUUUAUGAACGUAGAUCAUCUUCCCUUCUUUGAAUCUAGAUUCUUCUCUUGUGUUUGAUUUCCGUUUUGAAGAGUGAAGAGUAAAACGCAAUGUUUUCAGAUUCUAUUUUCAAUACAGUGUUUAUUAGACUUUUUUCUGAUAAUCAAAAGUAAUAACACUCUGUGCAUUAUUCCAUUCUCAUGGAGAUGUGAAACUGCAAAGACAAUUUCUGCAGUCUACACACGAGCCAAGUCCUCUCUAUGAAAAACAAAACAUAGAACUAGUCAGUCCUAUAAUAGUUGCAAAAAGGAAUUAAACUAAACCUGAAAAGCCCUUGGUGAGAGAGCUUGAAGAAUUAAAUGCCCUCCGUUUAUGAAGUCCAUCACAAGAUACAGACUAUACUUAGUCUGCAGAAAAAGAAAAGAAAAACAGGUUCGUAUAGUGCUAUGAUAGCUCAAGAAAACAGAGAAAAUGGAUAAAGUUUGAUUUUGCAAGAUUAGCAAACGAGAUUUGCUCCAGUCUCUUCGCUCUGCUUGUGAUGCUGCUGGUUCUCUUCUUGUUUUCGAUAAGGUACAUAGAAGGAACAGAGAAGCUGAGUCUAGCAAAGGUUUGAGCAAAUUUGAAGUGAGAAUCAAAGAGCUUGAGAUUAAUGCCAAGGGACGAGAAGUUUAAUUAUUGACCUUCGGGGAAGAGUUUCAUUAGCGUUUUAGAAACAAAGAUUUUCUUUUAUAAAGUCUUGUGAAGUCUGCAAGAUUUUCUUUUAUGAGAUUUAUGAGUAAAGCAAAAAAGUAUCUAAAGAAAAGAGUAAUGUAAAGAUCACAAUGUGAUUCAUCUAUUAGAUUUCUAAAAAAAAAAUAUAACUAAAUAGGAAAACCAAGUGAGAAGCAAUCCAACGAAAAACCAAACAAUAAGAAUCAAUGAAUCAAUUAUAAGAAAAGAACUUCCAAAUAAAAGAAAACUAAGAAAAGAAGAAUACGUUCUUAAAACUCAAAACCCAAAAAAUACAUCUAAAGAUUCUGAAAAUGGUUGGCUUCUCCGAACAUAUCCGUUGCAAACUUUUGCCGGAUAUCACUGAUGUUUUCAUCUGACAGUCCAACAUUCAUAUCUAUGUCUAAGGCAAGACACUCGAUAUACUUCAUAGCAUAUACUCCACAAUCACCCGUUUGAGUGUUCUGUGGAAUUCUUCUACAUCUUGAUACUGUGUACUCAUCAGUACUUAAUCCGUAUUGGUCAGCUGGUGAAGCCAAUGAUUUGAGAAGAUAUGGAAGCAUAUGUGCAUAUGGCCUCACCAACUCUGUUAUCUCAUCAUCGCUAGUUAGCGAAAUGAUACUGUCGUACACUUCAAUAUGCUGGUGAGGAAUUGAGAUAGCCAAAGCAAUCCAAUGAACACUUUUAAUGUUUAGCACAAGGUAGACAUCAUCGACAUCAACGCCAAGUCUCUUAUUUGUACUUUCACACCUUGGUAAAACACCUUUAUAGUAAUCAAUUAACUCACCGCUCCAGUCAAAGUUUCUCUGGUUUUGUGAGAACUUUGGGUAGACUUUUGAUAUCACUUUUCUUCAUUGUUUUUUUGUUCGGAUAUGUGUGAUCUAAUUCUGUCUUUCUUUUUCCAUCAAUUUCUUUCUGAAACUUGUACUCCAUCUCUAACAAAACCUAUGAAAAAGAAGAAAAGAAUUCAAAUAUGUGGUAAUUUUUAAUAACCAAAUCAUUCAUUGCAACUAAAAAACAAAAUAAAUAUAGGAAAGCAUCACAAAUCGAGAUACCGUAUUGCUGUGUUGUUCUUCUGCUCCCUUCUCUGUUUUUUUUUUCUUAGAAAAAGAAAGACGUCAACGACUUGUUUAUAUAACAAAUUGAAAAAAAAAAAAUUUUUAUCGAGAUAAAGUUGAAAUUUUUUUAAAGAUUUAUCCAAUUAAUUAAUGUGAUUAAUGAGAUAUCUUUAUCUCAAAUAAAAAUUCAAUCAUAAUAAUUAUUAUUUCGAGUUUUUCUUUUUAUUUAAAUAGAUAGUGUUAGUUAAAUUUUGGUCAAAACGACUUUAAACAUAAAUCAAAAGUGUAGUUUUUAAAAGAAAAAAAAAUGGUGUAUUUUACUAAUUCAGAAACUUAAAUAGUGUAUUUUGCUAAUUAUCCCUUAAAAUUUCUUGUAUAUUUUGAAAUUAACUAAAAGUAAACUAUAUUGCUUAUACUGAUAUUUCCGUUUCUUCACAGUAUGAUCUAUUGAUUUUUGCAACCCUCUAUAUUUGUAUUGUUGCACAGCUACUUAUAUUUCCCUUUCAUUACAAUGUGAUAUAAUAUUUCUUGUAAGUUUUGCAAUCCACUACAUAUCAUUUUUCCCAGAGUCAACUUAUCUUCGUGUUUGUAUAUUGAGUAUUACAUUUGUACUUUUACAAUUCUUUUUUUUUUUAUAAUCUUGAAGUGCUCUAGGAAUUAUAAUUAUUAUAUCAUGUUGGAUUUUUAAGAAUUUUGGUUUUUAUGAUAUUUUGUAAAAAAUUAGAGAGUGAUGUGUUUCUAGGGACAAAAGACGAAGACUUGAAAAAUCAACCCUGGUGUUUUUCCUUCUUGUCCCAUUAAAAAUCUCAGUUUUCUCUUCAAUCUUAUCAACUUCCUCAGAAUCCUCUUCACAUCGACCACAGGUUUCUUCAUCCAUCGACUUAUUGAAAUUUCUUGUAGUAUAAGUUAAACCAAAAUGUGUGGAAACUAUUCAACACAAAAGACUUUUCACUCUCUUCUUUCAACGUGAAUAACACUUCGUACGAAGGACUAAAUGGUGAGCCAAGCGAAGCUGAGUGGAAAUGGAGCACUGACUAUAUGUAUAUAAAGAGAUGGCAUGAAACCAAUUUAACCAUCACAAUUUCCAUUUGCUCGCUUCUUUUUCGCUAUUGAUUUUCAAGAAAGUUAAAAAUUAGCUUAAAGAAAAAACGAAAGGCUCUUGAAACUCAAUGAGUAUCAUUCAUAUUUCUCUUUCUUUUCUCCUCUUGUUCGUUUUUUAUUUUCAUGACGUGUUUGCGUCUCCUACUAGACACUUGUGUCGUCCGGAGCAAAGGGAUGCACUUCUCGAGUUCAAGAAUGAGUUUGAGAUUCGGAAGCCUUCUUUUCGGUGUUAUGUUAAUGGUCGCUGGGUAAACCCGUACCCGAAGACGGAGUCAUGGGCAAAUAAUACUGAUUGUUGUUAUUGGGAUGGUAUCAAGUGCGAUGCCAAAUCCGGGGAAGUGAUCGAGCUAGACCUCAGAUGCAGCUCUCUCUACGGCAAGUUUCGUUCCAAUACCAGUCUGUUUAGGCUUCGUAACUUUCGUUUUCUCACCACUCUAAACCUUUCACGGAAUGAGUUACAUGGUCAAAUCCCGUUUUCAAUUGGAAAUCUUUCUCUUCUUACUUCUCUCGACCUUUCUUCCAAUGGGUUUUCGGGUCAGAUUCCAUCUUCAAUUGGAAAUCUUUCUCUUCUUACUUCUCUCGACCUUUCUGAAAACGGGUUUUCGGGUCAGAUUCCAUCUUCAAUUGGAAAUCUUUCACUUCUUACCUCUCUUGAUCUUUCUUUCAAUCAGUUUUCGGGUCAGAUUCCAUCUUCAAUUGGAAAUCUAUCACUUCUUACCUCUCUCGACCUUUCUCUUAAUCAGUUUUCGGGUCAGAUUCCAUCUUCAAUUGGAAAUCUUUCCCUCUAUCUUAACAGACUCUCUGGUGAAAUCCCAGAUUCUUUUGCCAGUUUGAAAAAUUUGACGAGGUUAGAUGUUAGUUUCAAUAAGCUUAGUGGUAAUUUUCCAAUUUGGCUACUAAAUUUGACAGAGUUGUCGGAUUUAUCACUCGAUUCCAAUCAACUCACAGGAACGCUUCCCUCAAACAUUAGCUCACUCUCCAACUUGGUGAAUUUUUACGCAAGUGACAACGAUUUCGUUGGAACCAUUCCUUCUUCUCUCUUCACCAUUCCUUCUUUGAGAAUAAUUUAUUUGUCAGAUAACCAACUCAACGGCACUCUCGAGUUUGGGAAUAUAUCUUCACCAACAAAGCUAGUCGUGUUAAUGCUUGGCGGUAACAACUUGAGAGGGCCAAUCCCGAGAUCCAUUUCCAAAUUAGUCAACCUCUAUUACCUUGACCUUUCCAAUUGGAACACCCAAUUAGGCCCAAUUGACUUGAGUAUCUUCUCGCAUCUCAAGUCACUCCGAAUUCUUGACUUAUCCCAUUUGAACACCACCACUACGAUUGACUUGAAUGCCAUCUUAUCAUGUUCUCAGUUGCUGGAAACAUUGGAUCUCUCAGGCAACCAUGUUUCAGCCGAAAACAAGAGCUCAGUUUCAGAUCCUCCUUCGCAAAUGAUACGAGAAUUAAACUUGUCAGGCUGCGGUAUUACCGAAUUUCCAGAGAUCAUAAGAACCCAGCAGUCAAUGAGGAGUCUAGACAUUGCCAACAACAAAAUCAAAGGUCAAGUGCCUGGCUGGUUAUGGACUCUACCAAAUCUGACGUACGUGAAUCUUUCCAACAACACUUUCGUCAGUUUCGAAAGACCAACGAAACAUGGACUAUCCUCUGCCGUGGAGUACUUGUCUGGCUCCAGAAACAAUUUCACAGGAAAGAUUCCCUCCUUCAUAUGCGCGUUGGGCUCUCUAAGCGUUCUCGAUUUAUCUGAAAACAACUUCAAUGGUUCAAUCCCUCUUUGUAUGGAGAAUCUCAAGAGUAAUCUUUCGGUUCUAAACCUCCGUCAGAAUCAUCUUAUCGGAGGCCUUCCGGAGAAUGUAUUUGAAAGUCUAAGGUCCCUUGACGUUGGUCAUAACCAACUGGUGGGAAAGCUUCCAAGAUCUUUGAUCCAUUUCUCUGCCCUUGAAGUUCUUAAUGUGGAAAGAAACAGAUUCAACGACACCUUUCCGUUUUGGUUGAGUUCUCUACCAAAGCUACAAAUUCUUGUCUUACGCUCCAAUGCAUUCCAUGGACGGAUACAUCGAGCCUCCUUCCUUCAGUUAAAAAUCAUGGACAUCUCGCAUAAUUACUUCAACGGAGUUUUGCCAUCGGAUUACUUUGUGAACUGGAGUAAAUUGUCAUCACUUGGGACAGAAAAAGAUCGGUCGGAUGUAAACUACAUGGGAGAAGGUACCUAUUACGAAGAUUCAAUGGUUUUGAUGAAUAAAGGUGUAGCAUUAGAGCUGGUACGUAUCCUGAAAAUCUUCACAGCACUCGACUUCUCCGGAAAUAGAUUUGAAGGAGAAAUUCCAAGGUCCAUCGGCCUAUUGAGAGAGCUUCAUGUGCUCAACUUGUCAAACAAUGCUUUCACUGGCCACAUUCCAUCAUCUAUGGGUAACCUGACAGCUCUCGAGUCACUAGACGUUUCUCAAAACAAGCUUUCAGGAGCGAUCCCACAAGAGCUAGGGAAUCUCUCGUACCUUUCUUCCAUGAACUUUUCCCAUAACCAGCUUGUCGGUCUUGUACCUGGAGGCACUCAGUUCCGAACGCAGUCUUGCUCUUCCUUCGAAGACAACCCUGGACUUUUUGGCCCUUCUCUUGACGAAGUUUGCAAAGAUAUACACAAGACAUCAUCGCAAGAGAAUGAAACACCGGAGGAGGCAGAGGAAGAAGACGAAGAGGUGUUUAGUUGGAUUGCAGCUGCAAUAGGAUUUGGACCUGGCAUUGUAUUAGGAUUGACGAUUGGAUACAUAUUGGCCUUCUACAAACCGAGGUGGUUCACGAGUCCUUUUGGCCGAAACAAACACAGAAGCAGAAGCACCACAGCUCAUUAAGAGAGGUAAUCUUCUGAAUUUCAUAGAUUAAAGACUAUUGUAUAGUAUAAUGAAAUUUUCUGGGUUAAUGUAUAUUGUAUGUGAAAAUUAACGCUGUUUUUGUUUGUAUAGCGUUCUUAAACCCAAGAUGAAGAAUCUUUGAAAAACAGAAUGAAGCAACCAGACCAUAGGUAGAGAAGAAGCUUGGGGGAGAAGGCAACUCAUUUUAUCAAAGUCUAAAUAUCAGUGAUUGUUUUUGGUUUAGUUUGGUGUGUUUAUCAUAUACUCUGUUUUUAGCCAAUGUUUGUGUUUCUCUGUAAUUGAACAAUGAAAGAUUGUUUACAAAGCUCAAACUUAUUCUUAUUUAUUAGAUAAACAUGAUUUGAGAGAGGUAAUAAUGUUCUUGCUCCGACUAAAUCAAUUAUUCUUCUGCCAAAUGAAGAACUAAGAUUCAACACACAUCUCAGAACAUUGAUCCUUAUUCUCUUUUGGUAAUAUUAAUUAGCUGAGUAAAAUGAUAACUUACUUAGCUUAUUGACAGAUAUUUCACUUAGCAGAUAGAUAUAUUAGUUAGCUGCGAUCAAGAUCACCGACCAGUUAAAGCUAUAGAUAUACAGGCUUAAAACCCAAGCUUUGCCAUCAGAAUGAGAGAAAAAAAAUCAUCUCACAAAUCAUUCCACUUUCCAACUACUGAAACUCUUCAAUAGUCAAAUGACUCAAAUCUGAAUAAGAGAGUAUACAUACACACAUACUUAAGUCCUAAAUCUUGUUUAUAAAUGUAACAAAAAUAACCCAUCAUUUUUAACCAAAAACAUUGAACGAAGAAAUUACCCUAUGUUUAUCUGAUAUGAUUGUGAUGUAUCUGCCAUCACCAAGUCCUAAAUCUUGUUUAAGGUGAUUAACGAACCAUCCCCAGUUGAUGUCGUUUUCGAUCUCCACUACUGCCCACGCUAUAGGAACAAUUCUAUUAUCUCCAUCCCUUCCAACUGCAGCUAUCAAUAGGCCUUUAACAUCCCAUUUAAGGAAUGCACCAUCUAGUCCUAUGAUAGGUCUGCAAUGUGUUUUCCAAGUGACUCGUUGUGCUUCAAAACAGACAUAAAUACGAUCAAACCUUUGCUUGCUUCCGGGUGUUGGCCCUGGAAUAGUCUGAAUAUCCAUAAUGGUUCCUUUAUUAGUCUUAUGAAUCUCUGCUUCGUAAUCCCAGAUUCGAGCAAAAUGUGUUCCAUGGCCUGCUCGUCUUUGCCUAGUAAUUUUGGUCUAAAUUACUAGGCUAGGUCAGUAUCUAAUUUGGCUAGGUCAAUAUAAGUUCGGGUGUUUUUUGGCUUAUUACAAAGUUUGUAUUUUUUUUUGGCAAAAUCAUAUAAGUUUGGUAUUUAGAUGACCGAUUUCCCUACACACAUACUUAAGGGUCACGAUGACAAAAUCUUCGGUUUAACCAAUAAGAGUAUUCAUCAAAAGACAUCUUAUAAACCAAUGGAUUAUAUUUUAAAAACUUGGUGAAAACAAACAAGAAAUUUAUCAAUAAAAUACAAGAACACUGGGUCAAUAACUGCUUAAUUCUUUUUUUUUUUUAAAAAAACAAAAGGUAAAUGAUGCAAUUGAUAGUAUAAUCUACACUACUCUAUACUCCACUGUUUUACUUUUUUUAUUUUAAGUACACAACUUUUUGUUAUUUUUUAUUCUUGGGAGAUGUAUAUCCUAUAAACAAAACUGUGUUAAAUGGAAGGACUUGAUAGACACCAAAACCAGAAGAGAAACGAAAACAAACGGCUCAAACUUGACAGUAUAAAAUAUCUACUGUUAAAACAUCAUCCAAAAUUUAUAAAUUAACGAUUGAGAAAUAUUUUGAUAAAAAAUAUAAUUCGAUAAUAUUGAUCAGAUUACAGCAUCACAAAGUCAGUGAACAAAUCAUAUAAAACAAACUUGAAUAAAGAAAAUUGUAUCAUGCCAAUUGCCAAAAGAAACCAAACAAAUAAAUAGAUAACAGAAAGUAGAAACAUUGACUGACCGAUUACUAAGUUCUGGACAAAAGACGAAGACUUGAAAAGUCAACUUCAGUCUUCUUCCUUAUUGUCCCACCAAUAAUUUUACUUUUUCUCCUUCAAUCUCAUCUUCUUCCUCAAUCCUCUGAACAUCGACCACAUGUUUCUUCAUCCAUUGACCUCAAAUACUUGAUUUUCACUAUCGACUCUCUUUCUUUCUCUCUCUCUCUAGAUUUUCCGUCAAAGCUAUGGAGAAACUCUGUCUUCGAAACUCUGUUUCUCUCAUGACGAUGGUGGUUAUUGUUCUUCUUCCUCGUUGCACUCUUUCUACUACUUCUACAUAUUCUCGUCCCGAGAAGUUGUACGUCAACUGUGGGUCGGAUUCUAAUGUCACUUACGGUAACCGGACUUUUGUCGGAGAUAUGAUCUCUGGUGGUAACUCCGUUUCAUUCACCAAGAAAGGAACUGAAGCCAUCAACCAAUCAGGAUCAGGAAUCUACGAAAUGGUUAGGAUAUUCACAAGCCCUUCUUCUUACAAGUUCCAACUCGAUUCCGUUGGUCUGCACUUCGUGCGUCUCCAUUUCUCUGCUGUCUCUUCUCGGACACAGCUUUUAGCUGCUCGUUUCACAAUCUCAGCUACUUCUCACUUGAAAAGUUUCUCGCUUCAGAAUUUCAAUGAGACCCCACGAGUUGAGGAGUUUCUCCUGAUGAUUGACUCGCCGGAAUUCGAAAUUCGAUUUGUGCCCGAUCAUUCAUCCAUGGCUUUCGUCAACGCCAUCGAAGUGUUCUCUGCUCCAGAUGACCUAGAAAUUCCGUCAGACUCCGACAAGAAUCUGCAUACGGUUUACAGAUUAAACGUAGGAGGCAAGAAGAUCACACCAGAAAACGACACCUUGGGAAGAACUUGGUCAUUAGACGAUGACUUCCUCUACGAAAAAGAUUCUGCGAGGAACAUUAACUCAACACAAAAGCCUAACUAUGAGUCAGGAACAGUGACGCAAUUCACUGCUCCUGAUUUCGUCUAUCAGACAGCUAAAACGAUGAACCAUAGCUCGAACGAGGGGGUGGUAGAGGGAAUGUUGAUGAACGUCACUUGGUCAUUUAAGGUCAAAAGCAGCUCAAGACACUUCAUCAGGGUUCACUUCUGUGAUAUCAAGAGUGAAUCACAAAAUCCCGACUCCGAUUUCUAUCUCUAUGUAAACGGACAAUCACGACUAGAUGUAAAGCCUUCAGAGCGUNNNNNNNNNNNNNNNNNNNNNNNNNNNNNNNNNNNNNNNNNNNNNNNNNNNNNNNNNNNNNNNNNNNNNNNNNNNNNNNNNNNNNNNNNNNNNNNNNNNNAUAUAAAUCAUAAAUAUUAUUUAUUUAAAAUUCUACUUGAAAAGCCUUUAAAUAAAGUAACUUAAACUUGUAUAAGUAGUAUAUUUUAUAUAUAUAAAAAAUAAAUUUGUAACUAAAAAAGUGAUAAUAGAGAUUUUAAUAUUAUGGUGGUUUAUUUUUGUUGUUAAUGGAGAUUUUUUAUUUUUAACCAUAAUAUUAGGAUUUGGAAACUUUUUUGAAUUUUUAAAUGUUGAUAUGGAUGCCUUAAAAAUAAUAUGGCUAAACUGUUAUUAAUAAUAGAAUAGUUUAAAUUACAAAUUUUCCUAUAUUGUUUUGUAUUACCAAUGUAAUUUUAUAAUUUAAAAACUUUUUAAAUUUUAAUUAUUGAUGUAGACUAAAAACAUUGACCUUUUACAUGUUAUGUGGAUGUCUUUGGAAGCAUAUAGCUUCAGCUUUUAUUUUUCUAUAAAUAUUUUUUUUGUUAACAAUACAGUUUUAAAAUUUGAAAAUUUUCUAAAUUUUAGAUAUUGAUAUAAACCAAUAGAAUUGAAAUUUUAAAUCCUAUGUGGACACUCUUAGAGGUAUAUAGCUUCAGGUUUUAUUUGUAAUAUAUUUAGAUAUUAACACUGGAAGAUCCCACACGAGGCCCAUUGCGGUAAGUGAUUUUGGUUUCUCCUCUAUGUUUUGAGGCUUACGGAAUGUAUUCUGAUACUGUUUGAUUCAGCUAAUUGUUACCUUUGUGGUUCAGGUUGGAUUGCUAAACCCUUGUCAGACACCAUGUUAUUCCAAAGAUUUUCCUCGGAUACCUCAGUCUCUUCGCCUUAAUGCAGAACUUCUUUCUCUAUUUCUAGUGGUUCGUUUUUCAAAAAUUUUGGGUAUCAAUCACUUGACAUGUUUCUCGGAUUACUUGAAAUUUAUCAUUCUUCUCAAAUCUGGUGGCAAAACUUUAGAGAUUUUACAGUCUCUUUUUCAAUAUUAAAACAGCUUGUAGUGUCUUUGUUUUCAUCAUAAUCAUUUUAAUUUAGCUAAUAGUUAAACAUAUAGUUUAGUCAAGUUGGUUCUUAAUUUUACAUUGUAAUGAUUCAUUCUUUAGUGAAACCUAUCUCUAUUUUUUUGCUUUUUUAAUUGAAAUGGUUGUACAUACAUAAAAAAAACUUAAAAUUUAUUAUAGUUAUGUGAAAAAAAUUUGGAUGCUAAUGUAGGAGUAUGUAAAUAAAUUUAAAUAUUUUAUUUGUUCUUAAUUAUUUAUAUAAUUGAAACAUCUAACUUAAAUUUAAAUUUUCCUAUUUUAAAAUAUUUAUUUUAUUUUUAUUAUUAUUAAUAUAAAUUAUAUAUAUAAUUUAUUCAUCUUUAAUAAAAUUUUAAAACAAUAAUAGAAUUUAGAAACUUUUUUUAUUUUUAAUGUUGAGGUGGACCAAUAAAAAAUUUAUACAAAAUUUCUUUAUUAAACAAUAAUAUUAGAAUUUGUAAACUUUCUUAAUUUUUUUAUUUAACACUAAUAUUAAAAUUUGGAAAUUUUCUUAAUUUUGAAUGAUGAUGUGGACCAAUAAAAUUCUUAAUUUCCUUAUUUAAUAAUAAUAUUAAAAUUUGUAAAUUUUCCUAAUUUUGAAUGAUAAUGUGGGCCAAUAAAAUUGUAUUUUUUAAUCCUAUGUGAACGCCUUGAAAAGCUUAUAGCUUCAUGUUUUAUUAGUAUAAGAUUAUAUGCAAAUCUUAUAUUUUGCGUCCAUGCUAUGCGUGGAUAUUUGGUCGAUAAAAAUUAUAUUUAUCAAUAUAAAAAUUUUCUAUAUUAAUGUUUUAAUUAUAUAUUUAAAAUAUUAUAAUGUUAAUCUAAUAAUUUUUAUGUAAAUUAUAAGGUUUUAACGGUUUUUUUAAUCUAUAUAUAAUAUGUUAUAUUUCAAAAACGUAUUAUUUGGUCAAACACUUAUAAGUAAAAUUUUACAAAUUAAUCAAAUGCUAAUUUUAAAUAUAGUAUUGACAUGAUGAUAAAAUAUUAUACAUUCACUUUUUUAAAUCAUGAAGAUAUUUUUUUUUAUCAUUUUCACUUUUAUUUCAAUUAUAUAUGUGUUUUUUAAAAACAAUAAAAAUAAUUAUAUUUAAUUUUUUUUCCUUCUCUUGUAAUUAACUAAUAAAUAAAAUAUUUGCUUUUGAGGUUAAUAAUAACUAUAAACUUGAAAUCAAAACAGCAUAUGAAUAUAAAAUGAAUAAAAUCACUAAAAAUUUUUGAAUUAAAUAUAUUUUUGAUAAUUGGUUGUGUAAAAUUUUAAAUAAUUUUUUAAUUAUUAUUCCUCAUCUCUUCUAAUGAGAAUGAAAAAAAAUUUCAUCAUGUUCAUUUUUAUUUUUGUUAUAUCUGUUUUUUUAUGAAUAUGUCAUAUUUGUAUAUUUUAAUGAUUUGUGUAUGACUAUAUUCAGUUUCAUCAUAUUCAUUUUUACUUCUUUGAAUUAUAAUUAAGUAGGCAAAAUCGGUAUAAUUAAAUACAUUUAAUUUUUUAAAAAAAAAAAAAAUUGAACAACUCAAAACAAAGAGUUUCUACAUUAAUCUAUUGCAAUUCCAAGUCGAAUUUUUUUUAAAAAAAGAAAAUUUUGAUUAUUUUUCAGUAAUAUAUUACAUAAUAUUAUGUGAAUAUAUGUAUUGCAUAUGUUAAAACAUUUAUAUGAAUAUAAAUUAUAAUUAUUAGUUAUUUAAAAUUCAAUGUGAAAACCCUUAAAAUCAAGUAACUAAACUUGUAUAAGUAGCAUAUAUUUGUUUUGUAGAUGAUAAAUUAUAUUUGUAACUUAAACAGUGUUAAUGGAGAUUUUAAUAUCAUUUUGGUUUUUUGUGUUGUUAACAGAGAUUUCUUUAUUUUUUAAUUUAUUUUUUAACUAUAAUAUUAGAAUUAAGAGUUUUUUAAUUUACAUUUUUGUUAUAUACAAAUAAAAUUGAUAAUAGAAUAAUAUAACUUUAACUAUUAUUAAUAAUAGAAUAAUUUUAACUAACACUUUUACCUAAAUUGUUUUGUAUUAACAAUAUAAUUUUAUAAUUUAGAAUUUUUUUAAAACUUUAGUUAUUAAUGUAGACUAAUAAAAUUGACCUUUUAAAUCUUAUGUGUAUGUCCUUACAGGCAUAUAGCUUCAAAUUUUAUUUUUCUAUAAAUAUAUUUUUUUGUUAACAAUAUAAUUUUAAAAUUUAGAAAUUUUUUUAAAUUUAAAUAUUAAUAUGGACUAAUAAAAUUAAACUUUUAAAUCAUAUAUGGAUAUUCUUAGAGAAAUAUAGCUUUAAAUUUUAUUAAUAAUAGAUUUAGGAAUCAAACAUGGAGGAUGCCACACAAGGCUCGUUGCGGUAAUUGAUUUUGAUAUUUUCUCCUUGUUUUGAGGUUUACCGAAUGUAUUUGGAUGAUGUUUGGUCAGCUAAUUGUUACUUUUAUGGUUAAAAUUAGAUUUUUAAAAUCCUAUAAAAUGCCAUGUUAUUUUAAAAAAAAUUUUCGGAUAUCUUAGUCUCAUUCGUCUUAAUGACAAAACUUCUUUCUCUAUUUUCAGUGUUUUGUUUUUCAAAAGUAUCGAGUAUCAAUCACUUGACAUGUUUCUUGGAUUGGUUGGAAUUUAUCAUUCUUCUCAAAUUUGAUGGCUAAGCUUUAGAGAUUUUAUGAUCUUUUUUUCAAUAUUAAAGCGGCUUGUAGUGACUUUGUUUAUAUCUUCUUUCAUUAUAUUCUUUGUAAUUUAGCUAAUAGUUAAAAAUAUAAUUUAGUCAAGUUGAUUGUAUUUUUUUGUUUUUGUUAAUUUGAAAUAGUUGCACACAUAGAAAAAUUGGACGCUAAUGUAAGAGUCUCUAAAUAUGUAUGUAUAAAUCUAAUUUAAAUUUAUAUUUUCAUAGUUUAAUAUUAUUAUUUUAGUUUUUAUUAAUAUAAAUUUUAUAUAUGAUUUAUUUAUCUUUAAUAAUUUUUAAAAACAAUAAUAAAAUUUAGAAACAUUUAAAUUUUCAAUAUUGAGGUGGACCAAUAAAAAUUUUAUACAAAAAUUUCCUUAUCCAUCAAUAGUAUUAAAAUUUGUAAACUUUCCUAAUUUUCUUAUUCAGCAAUAAUUUUAUAACUUGUAAAUUUUCCUUAAUUUUGAAUGUUGAUGUGGACCAAUAAAAUUACUCUUUUAAAUCCUAUGUAAAAACCCUUAGAGCAUGGCAGUUUUACACAGGUUCUAAGGUGGGGUUUAUAAGUUUUUUGGAUUUUAAAAAAAUGAAAAAAGCCCAAUAUCUCGUGAACCGGUUCUUGUUUUAGAGUUUUUGGAGACUGUAUUUAGAAGGGUUCAUAAGUGACGUGUCUGCUUCUCAUUCGUUCAACAAGAAAUUUUUUUACGCUCUCUCUCCUCUUCCACUUUCUCUGGUUUUUCGUUUAUGUCGACAUUUAUUUCUCCUCUUCCAACCACGAUUUUUUCUCUGGUGAUUUCAGAUCAUGGGCUAAAAAAAUGAAAGCUUUGCAUGAACCCACUUGAAAAAGAGCUGGGAUUUUCAUUGGAAUCAAAGCAUCACUCUUUCCUCGAUCAUUGUUACAAAUCGAACAGACGGUAAUGCCGGAGGCUCAAUUCCGAGAUAAAUUUGAUCACGUCGAUUUCUUUCUGGUUUGUUACGUGUUUGAACUGCCAAACCAAUUCAUUCAUUAUAUAAAAUCAAAACCGAGAACAUCAUACUUGAGAUCACUGUUCUUCUUUUGCUUCAUAGUUUGUGAAGGAAAAUUAAACAAAAAAAAUUUUAGAUUUCAUCAAACCCAGUUUAAGAACCUCUAAUGAUGUUCACCAUUGGAGGAAUAAAAAACUUUGGAGUUCUAAACCAUUCUUUAAUCAAAAAUAAAUUAUUAAAAAAUAGCUAUGAACCCCAAGAGGAGGUUCACCAUUACUGGUGCUCUUAGAAACAUAUAGCUUCAACUUUUAUUAGUAUAAGAUGUUUUCUCAUUUUUUUAUUUUAAAAUAUAUCUACUGAUCUACAUAUUUGAUUUACUAAGGUUAUUUUCUUAUAACGUAUCUCGGACUUGGAAAAUAUCAUGAAUGUGAAUUCAAAACAUUGAUUUGACAAACUUUUUCUCUCUCGAAGCUCUUUCGCGUGCUUCCGUCUUGGUGGUCUUCUCCGGUUAUGGCGCUCAUCGCUGGACUGUGAGAAGGCCACCCCAAGGUUAGUUUUGUAAUUCGCGCCCAUCAUCGACGGAAGAGGUUCAUCGGCGGUGGAUUUGGAGGCGACCUAUUCUUCUCUGCAGUACUGUGGCAUGGAAAACCAGCGCGACGAGCGGCUGCGGAAGCUUGGUGGCCUUGACAAAGUGGUGUUGUGGAGUCUCAGUGAUUUGUCUCUGAUCAAGGGCGGCGGAGUGUUUCAUUGGAGAUCUUGCCGCAGUUCUAUCGAGGCUUAGAGAGGCAACUUGUUUUCGCUAGUUUGGUGGGUUGGGCCGUUUGUCGGGGACAGUUCUCCUGGUCGACGGUUGGAUCUACCUAAGGAUGGCGGUUCCUCUCGGUGGUGUUGUCAACUUGUCGGAGUCGGAUACUGUUCCUUACCGGAUUGAAGAUGGUGGUUCACGUGGUAAAAAAGAGGAGAUGUGCAUCGCGCGGCGGUGUUGGUUUCGAAGGAAGAGAAAAUCUGUGUGUCGGUUACUGGAUCUGGUGGUAGUCGACGAUUUGGCCGUGGGUUAUUCCAUGCUUUUGGUCAUGUCACUCCGGGAGUAGGAGUAUUCGGAAUCUUGCUGUGAACGGAUCUGGUUUCCGAAAUUGGACAACCUAGUUUCCAGUUCCUUAAAGGCGACGAUAGCUCUGCGCCGUUCUCGCAUACGCUGGAGGAAGAUAUGCAUGGGCUCGAGCUACUUUUCCCAAUCACAGAUUUAAUCUUAACCUAGUCCAUACGCUUUACCUUAGCCUAUUUCCAAGUCUUUUUUCAUUUUUUUGUUCAGGUUUACCACCGGCGGAGAUGUACUGUUCCGAUACCCUUUUAGGAAUUUUAUUAAUAAAAAUAUAUAUUUUUUUAAAAACAUUCAUUUUGACACGUUUCGACAUUUCAUAGUUUAUAAAACUGUCACAUACUCACAUGGUUUUUGUGAUAUGCUUACAACUAAUAAAUGUCUUUGGUACAAUUGUUUUUCAAUUUUUAGUUCUACCAAUUUUUAUUAUUUUUACGAUAAAAGUUAUCAUUUUAAAAAUAUGUUGAUUGUCACUAGUUCAGUGUUUUAUAUGGGAAAAUGGUCAAAAUUAAUCGAACUAAAUUUGAUGUGUCGAAAAAAAUCCGAACUAAAAUACGGUGCUAAUAACUAUCUAAACUCUAAAUAAUUCAAAUUUCCUAUCUGAAUUCUAAUAUAUGUGUCAAAAUCUAUCUUGACUAACUUUGACAUUAGUAACUGUUAAAAAAUGCUAACGAGGCAUGCUGACGUUGUCAUUUUAAUAAAACGAUAUUUUUUUUGUUGUAAAAAAAAUCAAAAACUUAUCCUCUUACCAGAACUUGACUUUUUAAUUUGUAGUUAAAUGUGUGGACCAGUUGAACCGUGAAACAAUAUUAAUACUUUUUACAAACAUAUUUAUAUAUUAUUGAUAUGCUGCAACAUUACAAUCAUGAGACCUAAAGAGAACAAGUAACAUCCCGUGGAUUAUCAAAGCCAUUACAAAAAGUAACCUGUUUGCUCUAUCGAGAUCUAAAGAGAACGAAUUCUCACCCAAAAUCGAUUUUCUCCUUUUGUUAAGCUUCUUCAAUCUCGUUUUUCUUCUACGGUUUUUUGGUUUUCUCUGCCAGAAUUGGUAGAGAGAGAAUGGAGAAGACGAAGUUGUUGCUGCUGCAAUUCUCCGAACUCAACAUCGAACACAGUUCCCGAUUAAUUGCAGCCUCUCAAUGCUCCAACAAUGGAAUUCGAUGAAGAAGAAGAACUCUCUAACCCUAAUUCGAUUUUGAGGGUGUAUUUUAUCCCCAAUUUAAUAUGUGGUCGUUUCGUUAAUUUUUUUUUUCGAGUUUAGACAUAUAUAUCAAUAACAUAUAAAUGUAUUUGUAAAGAAAAUCAAUAAUAUCUCACGGUUCAGUUGGUCAUUGCUUAAAUGGGGUUUACAAUGGCGCAGAUUGAAGUCCAAGGAAUAGAAAAAAUUUAGAUUUUUUUUAACAACGAAAACGACGUCGUUUUAGUAAGGUGACAACGUGUCAUGCCAAGUCAUAUUCUAUCAUGCCUCGUCAACGUUUUUUAACAGUUGAUUAACGUCAAAGUUAGUCAAAGUAGAUUUUAACACAUAUAUUGGAGUUCGAAUAGGAAAUUUGAAUUAAUUUGGAGUUCAGAUAGUUAUUAGCACCGUAUUUUAGUUUAGAUUUUUUUUAGCAAAUUUAGUUCGGGUUGGUUUUGGCCAUUUUCCCAUGUUUUAUAUAUAUAAGAUUUUAUUGGUUCAUGUGUUUCAAAUAAUAUCGAUCUCCAAUCAAAAUCUUGUUCAUUGGAUUAUCGAUGUAAGAAUUAUCGUCAAUAUCUUAUAUUAUUAGUUUAACAACUUAUAUGUACUUGUUGAAAUCUGGUGUCUUUAAUUCAACACAUCGACAACACCAAGAAAAACAAAAAAAUUGUAAUAUCUAAUGGAUCACUUUUUCCUCAUAAUUUUAUCUUUCUUGGUCUUCUCCAUCCUUUCUCUAAAACGUUUGAUCGGUAGAUGGCGGAACAAGUUUAACUUACCUCCAACUCCAGCUUGGUCACUGCCGGUGAUUGGUGAUUGGUGUAGAAAGUAAAUUUUGAGGAGAUAAAUAUUGCAAUAUAAGAAAACAAAUUGAGACAUAGAAAAACAUUUUAUAAAAGCGGAUUAAGGAAAAAUGAGAAAUGGAGGCGAGAUGAUCUCUUUCCUUAAUUCAAAAUAUCUCCCGCAGUGUGGCGGUUAGAUGAGAUAAUGAAUCCCAUGAUACAACCACUGAUAUUCGUAUAAUCGCAGCACCCGAUUAUUGAUAACACCGGAUUUUGACUAUUUUUAUGGAUCAUUUUAAUAUCUUUUACAGGUGUUUUUACUCCAUUUUCAAAGGUUUUCAAAGGAUUUCUAUAUUUUCGGAUUUUAAAAGACUUUUCAGGUAAUGUGGGAUAAAGAGGCACAAAAUAGAACAAAAAGACUCUUUUGGAUAAAUGCAGACCGUCAGAACUUUCAUGGAGAGACGAAGACCUUCUCACCGUCUGAUCACCCUCAAAAUUGGACAACUUAUAGAAGAAUCAACCAGCUUUCAAAUGCACUUAGUUUGGAGACAUUACAACGGUUGGAUCUCAAGAUAUUCCAUUAGCCCCGGAGCCACGCGGAGUCGGCCAGCAACUCACGCGACCGCGGCCAACAAGCUAUUUGCCGCGGUCAGAAGCUUCCCGAUCGCAGCCAACAAGCCAAUUGCCGCGGUCACAACACUCCCGACCGCGGCAUUCAACCUCCGACUUAAAGCCCACUUAUCUGAAGCCCAAAGUCAUUCCCAGCCUCAAUUCCGGAACCCUAGAGACCAUGGAGUAUUGGAGACUAUAAAUACAUGUCAUUUAGGUCGUUUUUAGAGAGAACCCUAGAUACUUUACAGAAACCCUUUUCUUUUAGCCGUUUUUAUGAGAUUUUUGUAGAAGAUUUUUCAAGUCCGAGUUCUUCAAUAGAGAAGCUUUCUUUAUCUCUUUUCUUUACUGUUUUUCAUUACUUUUAUUAAAACCAAUGAUGAUGUCGAACUCAGCCAUGUCUGAGUAGAUCCCGAGUUGGGCUUAGGGUUCCCGAAAGGGGCUCUCAUAAUCGAUUAAAAAAUUAGAGAUUGAUGUGUUUCUAGGGACAAAAGACGAUGACUUGAAAAAUCAACCCUGGUCUUUUCCCUUAUUGUCCCAUUAGAAAUCUCAGUUUUCUCUUCAAUCUUAUCUUCUUCCUCAGAAUCCUCUUCACAUCGACCACAGGUGUCUUCAUCCAUCGACUUAUUGAAAUUUCUUCUAGUAUAAGUUAAACCAAAAUGUGUGGAAACUGACUAUUCAACACAAAAGACUUUUCACUCUCUUCGUUCAACGUGAAUAACACUUCGUAGCAAAUGACUAGAUGGUGAGCCAAGCGAAGCUGAGUGGAAAUGGAGCACUGACUAUAUGUAUAUAAAGAGAUGGCAUGAAACCAAUUUAACCAUCACAAUUUCCAUUUGGUCGCUUCUUUUUCACUAUUGAUUUUCAAGAAAGUUAAAAAUUAGCUUAAAGAAAUAACGAAAGGCUCUUGAAACUCAAUGAGUACCAUUCAUAUUUCUCUUUCUUUUCUCCUCUUGUUCGUUUUUUAUUUUCAUGACGUGUUUGCGUCUCCUACUAGACACUUGUGUCGUCCAGAACAAAGGGAUGCACUUCUCGAGUUCAAGAAUGAGUUUGAGAUUCGGAAGCUUUCUUUUUUUCAGUGUUAUGUUAAUGGUAGCGUUGUUAUUGGAAUGGUAUCAAGUGCGAUGCCAAAUCUGGGGAAGUGAUCGAGCUAGACCUCAGUUGCAGCUGUCUCUACGGCAAGUUGCGUUCCAAUACCUCUGUUUAGGCUUCACAGCUUUUGUUUUCUCACCACUUUAUACCUUUCAUAUUAGGUCCCCAAAUCCCGUUCUCAAUUGGAAAUCUUUCUCUUCUCACUUCUCUCGACCUUUCUGAAUAUGGGUUUUCGGGUCAGAUUCCAUCUUCAAUUGGAAAUCUUUCACAGCUCACCUCGCUUGAACUUUCUUCCAAUCAGUUUUCGGGUCAGAUUCCAUCUUCAAUUGGAAAUCUUUCACAGAUCACCACUCUCCGUUUUUCCUUUAAUCAGUUUUCGGGUCAGAUUCCGUCUUCAAUUAAAAAGCUCUCUCAUCUCGAAACUCUUGACCUCAGUCAUAACAGACUCACUGGUGAAAUCCCAGAUUCUUUUGCCAGUUUGAAAAAUUUGACCGAGUUAAAUGUUAGUUUCAAUAAGCUUAGUGGUAAUUUUCCAAUUUCACUUCUAAAUUCGAUCAACUCACAGGAACGCUUCCUCCAAACAUUAGCUCACUCUCCAACUUGGAGUGGUUUUAUGCAUAUGACAACGAUAUAGUUGGAACCAUUCCUUCUUCUCUCUUCACCAUUCCUUCUUUGACACAAAUUGAUUUGUCAAAUAACCAACUGAACGGCAUUCAUGAGUUUGGGAAUAUACCUUCACCAACAAAGCUAGUGAGGUUAGAGCUUGGCGGUAACAACUUGAGAGGGCCAAUCCCGAGAUCCAUUUCCAAAUUAGUCAACCUCUAUUACCUUGACCUUUCCAAUUGGAACACCCAAUUAGGCCCAAUUGACUUGAGUAUCUUCUCGCAUCUCAAGUCACUCCGAUUUCUUGGCUUAUCCCAUUUGAACACCACCACUACGAUUGACUUGAAUGCCAUCUUAUCAUUUUUCCAGUCGCUUGGAUCAUUGGAUCUCUCAGGGAAUCAUGUUUCAGCCGAAAACAAGAGCUCAGUUUCAGAUCCUCCUUCGCAAAUGAUUAGUUCUUUAAACUUGUCAGGCUGCGGUAUUACCGAAUUUCCAGAGAUCAUAAGAACCCAACAGUCUAUGAGAUUUCUAGACAUUUCCAACAACAAAAUCAAAGGUCAAGUGCCUGGCUGGUUAUGGACGCUACCAGAUCUGGAGUACGUGGAUCUUUCCAACAACACUUUCGUCAGUUUCGAAAGACCAACGAAACAUGGACUAUCCUCUGCCUUUAUGUACUUGUUUGGCUCCAAAAACAAGUCUAAGGUCCCUUGACGUUGGUCAUAACCAACUGGUGGGAAAGCUUCCAAGAUCUUUGAUCCAUUUCUCUGCCCUUGAAGUUCUUAAUGUGGAAAGAAACAGAAUCAACGACACGUUUCCGUUCUGGUUGAGUUCUCUACAAAACCUGCAAGUUCUUGUCUUACGCUCCAAUGCAUUCCAUGGACCGAUUCAUCGAGCCUCCUUCCUUCAGCUCCUUCCUUCGCAUAAUCACUUCAACGGAACUUUGCCAUCGGACUAUUUUGUGAGCUGGAGUAAAAUGUCAUCACUUGGGACAGAGGAAGGUCGCUCAGAUCUAUACUACAUGGGAAAUGCAUAUUACGAAGAUUCAAUGGUCUUGAUGAAUAAAGGUGUACCAUUAGAGCUGGUACGUAUCCUUGAAAUCUACACAGCACUCGACUUCUCCGGAAACAGGCUUGAAGGAGAGAUUCCAAGCACCAUCGGCCUAUUGAAAGAGCUUCAUGUGCUCAACUUGUCAAACAAUGCUUUCACUGGCCACAUUCCAUCAUCUAUGGGUAACCUGACAGCUCUCGAGUCACUUGACGUUUCUCAAAACAAGCUUUCAGGAGUGAUCCCACAAGAGCUAGGGAAUCUCUCGUACCUUGAAGUCAUGAACUUCUCCC
rnacentral:lncRNA from 1 species